CUCUGCUUGUCUUUAAAUGUUUCUUUCUCACAUCUGAAGGGCUGAAUAUCCAGAGGUGUGUGGCUGGCACUUCUGUCCACACUCUAGAAAUGUGAUGCCCUCACCUGAGCCCAAGCAGAUGAACUGGCAGGUGGGAUUAGCCCACACUAACACAGCUCUAGAAACUUUAUUUUUUUAUUAAUCAUUUUUUAAAAGUAAGUGGCCAGAGCAAUAUGGUGGGUUAUGUCGGAUGAAACACACACUGGCUGUCAAUCAAAAAGGGGGUGCUUUGGUCAGGAAUAAUCAGGGGUUUUGUUUCCAAAAUUAAUGAAGUGGCUGGAAUAGCGAACAUCUGCCAAGGGGACUCAAAUCCCGAGCAGCUGUUGGAGCCCCAGGACUCUUCCCAUGUAGGACAGCCUUGCUGAACCUUCACACAAACGCCUCCGGUCAGUGGGCUCAUCUCUGGGGUGGAGACAAGUACUGAACUUCCAGAGCAAGCUGUGCCAGUUCUCCACCCACGCCAGCGCCUGCAACUGCCUGGAAAACUGGUGCUGCAAACCCAUCCCGCAGCAGGGCAGAGGGGGUCUGUCCCAGGUUAUACCAAUGGAACUGCAAGUCUCCAACCUCCAAGCGAAUUUGGCACAAGUGGCUUAAAGAGAGAGAUUGUGUGAACAAGUUGUAACACAUCCCCACUUCCCUGUGCACCAAGGUCACCAGCUGGAAUGUGCUUGCCUGAAGUUUGCUCUGCGACAAACAGCCUGUGACUGACCCAGCGAGUCACUUCAUUUCACAGAUGCUGCAUGGCAGAGUAGCUCCAGGAGCAUUUGUGAGACUAUGAAGAAAGGAUUAAAAAGCAAGCAGUCAAAAGAACAGUGUUACUCUGUCCCAAACACAGCAUCAUAUUUGCAUGCAAGGAGAAGCCCAAUAACUGGAAGAAUUCCAUUCGGCAGCCUGGGCACUUGUCUGGGUGGAUUUGACCGUCAAAGAGACAGGCUGGAAAAGAAAGUAAUAUUCUGCUCUGCUUGUAUUUAUACACAGCUGAACUUUACAUAUGAACAGUCCUAGAGACUGAGUGUAUACUAAGAGCAUUUUGUAAACACUGAAGUUCAAGGCUUUAAAAAUCAAAUUAUUCUGUUACAUUUCUAAUCUUUCUCAUUGCUUCAUAUGACCAAACACAAUGUUCUCCACAGGGCUGACAGAAUAGUAAUAAUUUUUAA